UUACUGAAAGGGUUAAUGUUGUAAUGGACUCUAAUCCCCUCGGUUCUCGAUCCCUCGGUCACCAUAAUCAACGUUGAUGGAGAAUCAUUUGUAAGCAAUAACACACGGACAACAGCUUUACAAGACUCUCAAAUGAGUGUAUUCCAGAGCUGGCUUUUAUACAUAGUUUGCUUACAUUAGCCAUGGUAUAUGCCAUUCAUUACAGUACAGACUAUAAGAUUUAUUACUUCCUUGUAUUACGUUAUUCUGACAAUGGAAAGAUAAGCUUUUGCAUACGUCUGGAAAAGAAUAUCCUGAAAUCGGAAUGGGCAAGACAUCCUGAAAUUUAGCAUUGUCUUACAUCCUAUAGAAGAAAUACCUUAGUCUGUCACAGUCAGCAUAUUGACUUUAAGUAUUCAAUAUCCCUUCAGUCAGCAAUAAUCAUG
rnacentral:lncRNA from 1 species